rnacentral:misc_RNA from 1 species
GUGGUAAUUGGAUGGUUAGGACAGAUUCAAGUAUAUAUGAGAGCAGAGUGCAUAUGACAUGUUAUUUUUGUAUGAUGCUUGCUUAGAUGAAAUGCUCCCAAUCUCUCACUUAUCCUCCCAGUAAUCGCUAAGCAGGGAAGAGCAUAGCCAGCUUGGACAAUUCAAUGGUAGGCCCUAAAAGUUCAUCUUCAGCAGAGGCUAGGUUGAGAU